AGUGCUGAGAAGGUCCAGCUGGCCAGUGGGUUUUCUGAUUUUCUCGUCCUAGCAGCUGGGCAGUAGGGCCCCAGGGAGUGGGAGAUACUGCCUGGGGCAGCUGAGCAUAUCCAGGUGGGGAAAUCUCAAAUACAGGAAAGGCUCAACAAGCAGCUAGUUGCUGAGUCACAAACUGUGAGACUUCUUAAAGAAGUAGGGGGCCUGCAUGAAGUGUGGAGCAAACACAGAGAUCAAACUUCAGAAAUGAUGUGGUGGAAGGUGCAGUUAUUUACAUGAUUCAGCCUGUCAUUCAGCUGAGCAGUAUCCAUCUUUGAAAGGAGUAUUACCAGCAUGCCGAGGGAGAGAGGGCACCAAGAGCCUUGCAGGAACAGCUUCACAAGGGAAGAGAAGCCAAUAAUGCAAAUGCAGGGAGCUUUCAGCAGCCCAAACUCCUUUGUGGUGCUUCUGUGUUCUUGCUGUAAAUGUCUCAGGAAUUCUAAAUCUGGUCUGUAAAACAGAAAACAAAUGGACAAAAAGAACAACAAAAACAGAGGUGAGUUUGUAUUGUCCCAUGCUAUUAAGACAUCCUACAGGUAGCAUUAAUGUAUAGAUGAGUUAAUUCUUUAACACUAAGCUGUACCACAUCUGGAGUAGCAGGAAUCUUCUCUACCUUUUGCAGAACUAAGCAGUCUAAGAUUAUACAGUCUAGAAGAGCCAGUGAGCAGUAUCUUGUUGCUGAAUGUAAUUUCAGAAAAAAUAACCAAGAGACAAAUUUAAACUCUGGGCUGUUUUUAUUUUCACUGUAUCUACUCUAAACAAUUUACAGCAUUCAAGCAGGAGGAUGGUAAUGCACUGGUUUUCCUAUGUGUAACUAGUGUGGCAAAGAGACAGCUGAUUGGAAUUAACAAAUUUUUUAUUUAGAGAAAAACUCCUGUGUGAACUCCAGUGGUCCUGUGCUUGAUUAUAGACCAAUGUAAUUAAUCUCCCACAGGAAUACUGGCUCUUUCAUUCCAGCAGGGCUUUAGGUUGUGCUUGACAGUAUCCAUGUGCUGACAGAAGUAUCACAGAUGCACUUACUGAUUUUAGAAAACUAAACGUGGAUUAAAUGUGGUAAAAUCAAACCAUCAAAGGGUAGGCAUUCAGAGGAGGUAACUCAUGGGAGAAAUGGUAUGAGUAUGUCUACAGGUAAGCUCUUCAGUGUCCUCAGAGCCUUUCUGUCUAGAUCAGGGACCUGGACAAAGUAUACCACAGUUCUUUUCUAGCCCGCUUGCCUGAAUUGUUUUCCAGAGUAAGUCUUGUCACAGAGGACAGCCAGGAAAAGGACUAUGUUUGUGUAUGCUGAAGUGAAGUCAGGUUACAACCAUAGAACGUGUAAGGUUCUGGAAGACUGAUGUUUAAUUGUAUCAAAAAUCAUAGGGUUGAGAAAGUGAAUUAUCAAAUAAAAAGGCUAAUAAUGAACUAUCUCUUCUGCAAGGACAUCAGAGAGCUGGAAUACCAACCCCAUGACUUUUUGUUGCUUUAGCUAGUUACUGUGUUGAGGAAGUUGCAUU